rnacentral:rRNA from 1 species
UACGUAGGUGGCAAGCGUUGUCCGGAUUUAUUGGGUUUGAAGGGUGCGUAGGUGGUCUAUUAAGUCAGUGCUGAAAUAUCCCGGCUUAACCGGGAGGGUGGCAUUGAUACUGCGGGGCUAGAGUACAGAUGAGGUAGGCGGAAUUGACGGUGUAGCGGUGAAAUGCUUAGAUAUCGUCAAGAACACCUAUAGCGAAGGCAGCUUACUAGGCUGUAACUGACGCUGAGGCACGAAAGUGUGGGGAUCAAACAGG